rnacentral:tRNA from 1 species
CUGAACAGGCGAGCCUCGAUCCCGCAAAAAUUAGUUAACAGCUAACUACCCAAACCAGAGGGCUUCUAUUCG